GAAAAGCGUAGUCGAUGGGAAACAGGUUAAUAUUCCUGUACUUCUGGUUACUGCGAUGGAGGGACGGAGAAGGCUAGGCCAGCUUGGCGUUGGUUGUCCAAGUUUAAGGUGGUAGGCUGAAAUCUUAGGUAAAUCCGGGGUUUCAAGGCCGAGAGCUGAUGACGAGUCGUCUUUUAGAUGACGAAGUGGUUGAUGCCAUGCUUCCAAGAAAAGCUUCUAAGCUUCAGGUAACCAGGAACCGUACCCCAAACCGACACAGGUGGUCGGGUAGAGAAUACUAAGGCGCUUGAGAGAACUCGGGUGAAGGAACUAGGCAAAAUGGCACCGUAACUUCGGGAGAAGGUGCGCCGGCUAGGGUGAAGGAUUUGCUCCGUAAGCUCUGGCUGGUCGAAGAUACCAGGCCGCUGCGACUGUUUAUUAAAAACACAGCACUCUGCAAACACGAAAGUGGACGUAUAGGGUGUGACGCCUCCCCGAUGCCGGAAGGUUAAUUGAUGGGGUUAGCGCAAGCGAAGCUCUUGAUCGAAGCCCCGGUAAACGGCGGCCGUAACAAUAACGGUCCUAAGGUAGCGAAAUUCCUUGUCGGGUAAGUUCCGACCUGCACGAAUGGCGUAACGAUGGCGGCGCUGUCUCCACCCGAGACUCAGUGAAAUUGAAAUCGCUGUGAAGAUGCAGUGUAUCCGCGGCUAGACGGAAAGACCCCGUGAACCUUUACUGUAGCUUUGCACUGGACUUUGAGCCUGCUUGUGUAGGAUAGGUGGGAGGCUUUGAAGCGUGGACGCCAGUUCGCGUGGAGCCAUCCUUGAAAUACCACCCUGGCAUGCUUGAGGUUCUAACUCUGGUCCGUAAUCCGGAUCGAGGACAGUGUAUGGUGGGCAGUUUGACUGGGGCGGUCUCCUCCUAAAGAGUAACGGAGGAGUACGAAGGUGCGCUCAGACCGGUCGGAAAUCGGUCGCAGAGUAUAAAGGCAAAAGCGCGCUUGACUGCGAGACAGACACGUCGAGCAGGUACGAAAGUAGGUCUUAGUGAUCCGGUGGUUCUGUAUGGAAGGGCCAUCGCUCAACGGAUAAAAGGUACUCCGGGGAUAACAGGCUGAUACCGCCCAAGAGUUCAUAUCGACGGCGGUGUUUGGCACCUCGAUGUCGGCUCAUCACAUCCUGGGGCUGAAGCCGGUCCCAAGGGUAUGGCUGUUCGCCAUUUAAAGUGGUACGCGAGCUGGGUUUAGAACGUCGUGAGACAGUUCGGUCCCUAUCUGCCGUGGACGUUUGAGAUUUGAGAGGGGCUGCUCCUAGUACGAGAGGACCGGAGUGGACGAACCUCUGGUGUUCCGGUUGUCACGCCAGUGGCAUUGCCGGGUAGCUAUGUUCGGAAAAGAUAACCGCUGAAAGCAUCUAAGCGGGAAACUUGCCUCAAGAUGAGAUCUCACUGGGAACUUGAUUCCCCUGAAGGGCCGUCGAAGACUACGACGUUGAUAGGCUGGGUGUGUAAGCGUUGUGAGGCGUUGAGCUAACCAGUACUAAUUGCCCGUGAGGCUUGAAC
rnacentral:rRNA from 1 species